rnacentral:rRNA from 1 species
UACGUAGGGGACAAGCGUUGUCCGGAUUUACUGGGCGUAAAGAGCGCGCAGGCGGUCGAUCAAGUCGAGUGUGAAAGCCCCCGGCUCAACUGGGGAGGGUCAUUCGAUACUGAUCGACUCGAAGGCAGGAGAGGGUAGUGGAAUUCCCGGUGUAGUGGUGAAAUGCGUAGAUAUCGGGAGGAACAUCAGUGGCGAAGGCGGCUGUCUGGCCCAAUACUGACACUCAGGUGCGAAAGCGUGGGGAGCAAACAGG